GACGAACGCUGGCGGCGUGCUUAACACAUGCAAGUCGAACGGAAAGUCCCUGCUUUUGUGGGGUGCUCGAGUGGCGAACGGGUGAGUAACACGUGAGUAACCUGCCCUUGACUUUGGGAUAACUUCAGGAAACUGGGGCUAAUACCGGAUAGGAGCUCCUGCUGCAUGGUGGGGGUUGGAAAGUUUCGGCGGUUGGGGAUGGACUCGCGGCUUAUCAGCUUGUUGGUGGGGUAGUGGCUUACCAAGGCUUUGACGGGUAGCCGGCCUGAGAGGGUGACCGGCCACAUUGGGACUGAGAUACGGCCGGGACUCCUACGGGAGGCAGCAGUGGGGAAUAUUGCACAAUGGGCGGAAGCCUGAUGCAGCAACGCCGCGUGCGGGAUGACGGCCUUCGGGUUGUAAACCGCUUUCGCCUGUGACGAAGCGUAAGUGACGGUAAUGGGUAAAGAAGCACCGGCUAACUACGUG
rnacentral:rRNA from 1 species